UACGAAGGGGGCUAGCGUUGCUCGGAAUUACUGGGCGUAAAGCGCACGUAGGCGGCUUUCUAAGUCGGGGGUGAAAUCCUGGAGCUCAACUCCAGAACUGCCUUCGAUACUGGAGAGCUCGAGUCCGGGAGAGGUGAGUGGAACUGCGAGUGUAAGAGGUGAAAUUCGUAGAUAAUUCGCAAGAACACCAGUGGCGAAGGCGGCUCACUGGCCCGGUACUGACGCUGAGGUGCGAAAGCGUGGGGAGCAAACAGG
rnacentral:rRNA from 1 species